rnacentral:rRNA from 1 species
GAGUUUGAUCCUGGCUCAGGAUGAACGCUAGCUACAGGCUUAACACAUGCAAGUCGAGGGGCAGCAUGAACUUAGCUUGCUAAGUUUGAUGGCGACCGGCGCACGGGUGAGUAACACGUAUCCAACCUGCCGAUGACUCGGGGAUAGCCUUUCGAAAGAAAGAUUAAUACCCGAUGGCAUAGUUCUUCCGCAUGGUAGAACUAUUAAAGAACUUCGGUCAUCGAUGGGGAUGCGUUCCAUUAGGUUGUUGGCGGGGUAACGGCCCACCAAGCCUUCGAUGGAUAGGGGUUCUGAGAGGAAGGCCCCCCACAUUGGAACUGAGACACGGUCCAAACUCCUACGGGAGGCAGCAGUGAGGAAUAUUGGUCAAUGGACGAGAGUCUGAACCAGCCAAGUAGCGUGAAGGAUGACUGCCCUAUGGGUUGUAAACUUCUUUUAUACGGGAAUAAAGUGAGGCACGUGUGCCUUUUUGUAUGUACCGUAUGAAUAAGGAUCGGCUAACUCCGUGCCAGCAGC